rnacentral:tRNA from 1 species
GCCUGGGUAGCUUAGUCGGUAAAGGGUCUGACUCUUGGUUUCAGCUCAGGUCAUGAUCUCACAGUUUUGUGGGAUCGAGCCCCGCCCUGGGCU